rnacentral:hammerhead_ribozyme from 1 species
ACCAGCUGACGAGUCCCAAAGAGGACGAAACGCGCGUCCCAGAU